AGUGAACGCUGGCGGUAGGCCUAACACAUGCAAGUCGAACGGCAGCACAGUAAGAGCUUGCUCUUACGGGUGGCGAGUGGCGGACGGGUGAGGAAUACAUCGGAAUCUACUUUUUCGUGGGGGAUAACGUAGGGAAACUUACGCUAAUACCGCAUACGACCUACGGGUGAAAGCAGGGGAUCUUCGGACCUUGCGCGAUUGAAUGAGCCGAUGUCGGAUUAGCUAGUUGGCGGGGUAAAGGCCCACCAAGGCGACGAUCCGUAGCUGGUCUGAGAGGAUGAUCAGCGACACUGGGACUGAGACACGGUCCAGACUCCUACGGGAGGCAGCAGUGGAGAAUAUUGGACAAUGGGCGCAAGCCUGAUCCAGCCAUACCGCGUGGGUGAAGAAGGCCUUCGGGUUGUAAAGCCCUUUUGUUGGGAAAGAAAAGCAGCAGGUUAAUACCCCGCUGUUCUGACGGUACCCAAAGAAUAAGCACCGGCUAACUUCGUG
rnacentral:rRNA from 1 species